CCUACGGGAGGCAGCAGUGGGGAAUAUUGGACAAUGGGGGGAACCCUGAUCCAGCGACGCCGCGUGAGUGAAGAAGUAUUUCGGUAUGUAAAGCUCUAUCAGCAGGGAAGAAAAUGACGGUACCUGACUAAGAAGCCCCGGCUAACUACGUGCCAGCAGCCGCGGUAAUACGUAGGGGGCAAGCGUUAUCCGGAUUUCCUGGGUGUACAGGGAGCGUAGGCGGUGCAGCAAGUCAGAUGUGAAAGGUCGAGGCCCAACCCCCGGACUGCAUUGGAAACUGUUGAACUUGAGUACGGGAGAGGUAAGCGGAAUUCCUAGUGUAGCGGUGAAAUGCGUAGAUAUUAGGAGGAACACCAGUUGCGAAGGCGGCUUACUGGACUGUAACUGACGUUGAGGCUCGAAAGCGUGGGGAGCAAACAGGAUUAGAUACCCUAGUAGUC
rnacentral:rRNA from 1 species